UUAUUAUAAAUUGGACUAAUAAUUUCUUCAGAAAUAUCUCAAGAUUUUUCCCCACAAAUUUCUCUACAAAUUUCUCCAUACUUUGAAAAAACUUCCAUAGGUUUUUCGAUAAUUUUUUCAUGAACUAUUGCUGAAAUCCAUCCUACACACUUAAUUUGUAAGGGCCCAUAUAGCCGAGGCGGUAAACGCACGGGUAUUCAGCAUGACCAUGCUGAGGGUGAUGGGUUCGAUUCCCGGUCGGUCUAGGAUCUUUUUGUAAAGGAAAUUUCCUUGACUUCCUUGGGCAUAGAGUAUCUUCGUGCCUGCCACACGAUAUACACAUGCAAAAUGGUCAUUGGCAGAGGCAGCUCUCAGUUAAUAACUGUGGAAGUGCUCAUAGAACACUAAGCUGAGAAGCAGGCUUUGUCCCAAUGAGGACGUUACGCCAAGAAGAAGAAGAAGAACACUUAAUUUUUAAAACCGUGUUCGGUAAAUUUUUGACGAAAACAGAACAGCUGAAUACAGUGUAACGCUUAGUCACUUUUUUGAAUUGGACAUAGUUUUUCAAGAUUUUAGGUGUAAAUUAAAAGUAAUUAUUUUCAUUGAAUAUUUAAAAAAAGGUUAACAUCGUUGAAUUUGAAAUGCACGGCUAAAUUAGGAUAAAAGCUCUUCUUUGUACUGAAAUAUUUAAGUCACUUUAUUAUACAACUUUCUAUAAAAGCUCAUUGAAAUAGGAUAAAAGCUUUUAAAGUUAUUUGUACUAAAAAGUUCCGGAUUUAUUUUAUCACUGGGAACGGAAACUCUGCUCAUCUGUGCAGUUCUAAAUCUGUACAAAAGCGUCCAACGGACGCUUUUUUGUACGGGCUUCAAGCCCGCAGCUACACACUCCGCCAUUUUGAACAUCCACACGACCACGUGGGACAUUUCCGAGGACGCUCGCUCAUCCAGGCCCGCCACAGAGCUGGCAGUCAAACGGGUGGAGAGGAUUGUCUGGCCUGCCCGCAUUCUGAGAGGAGUGAUCGGGUAGCGUACUUGGACCUGCCGAAACCCUUCCCCGCACCUUUAUUCCGGCCAUCAGUGAUUCGAGCUUCUUUUCCGAGCCGUCCCUCGAAGGAACGGGAUCCCGCCGGCCCCGGCGGCAAACCCUUGCUCUGCCGCUGCGCUCGCCAAGAACAUCGCACUCCGUCCGUGCACCCCUCGUCAGCUGACAGCAUAAGUUAAACCCUGCGCAGGUAUGUCCUCAUAAUCAUGGCCAUGAACACACUACACAACACACACUCACACACUCUCACACUGGAUGCUUAAAACGAAAAAAUGAAUUAAUACAUAAAAAUGAAUUCAAACUCAA